AGCCGCCGCGGUAAUACCAGCAGUUCAAGUUGCAUCCAUUUUUAUUGGGUCUAAAACAUCCGUAGCUUGUUCAUUAAGUCUCCUGUGAAAUCCUACGUCUCAAGCGUGGGGCUUGCAGGAGAUACUGAUGAGCUAGAGAUCGGUAGACGUAAGGAGUACGCCGGGGGUAACGGUUAAAUGUGUUAAUCCUCGGUGGACUAACAAUCAGCGAAGGCACCUUACGAGGACGAAUCCGACAGUGAGGGAUGAAGGCCAGGGGCGCAAAACGGAUUAGAUACCCGUGUAGUCCUGGCAGUAAACGCUGCUCACUAAACAUCGGGCCCUCUUCGGGAGGAUUCGGUGCUGAAGCGAAGGCGAUAAGUGAGCUACCUGGGAAGUAUAGUCGCAAGAUCGAAACUUAAAGGAAUUGGCGGGGAGACAUACAACGAGUGACGCGUGCGGUUCAAUUAGAUUUUACACCGUGAACCUCACCAGGAGCGACAGCAGGAUGAAGGUCAGUCUGAAGGGCUUACCUGACACGCUGAGCGGAGAUGCAUGGCCGACGUCAGCCUGUGCUGUGAAGUGACCUGUUAAAUCAGGUAACAGGCGAGACCCGUGUCGUUAAUUACUACAGAAAUGGGUACCUUAACGAGACUGCCUUGGUAACAAGGAGGAAGGUGCGGGCUACGUUAGGUGAGUACGUCCCUAAUCCCCUGGGCUACACGCGCGCGGCAAUGGUAUGUUCAAAUGGAUGCGACUCCGAGAGGAGAAGCUAAUCCCCUAACGCAUAUCUCAGUUCAGAUUGUGGGUUGCAACCCACCCACAUGACGAUGGAAUUCGUAGUAAUCGGAUAUUAGCACUGUCCGGUGAAUAAGUCCCUGUCUCU
rnacentral:rRNA from 1 species